UUCGCAUCCUGAGGUACCACUGUGUGUGUGUGUGUAUACACACACACACACAGUGGUACCUCAGGAUGCGAA